GAGUUUGAUCCUGGCUCAGAUUGAACGCUGGCGGUAUGCUUAACACAUGCAAGUCGAACGGUAACAGGCCUUCGGGCGCUGACGAGUGGCGGACGGGUGAGUAACGCGUAGGAAUCUGCCUCAUAGUGGGGGACAACGUGGGGAAACUCACGCUAAUACCGCAUACGCCCUACGGGGGAAAGCGGGGGAUCUUCGGACCUCGCGCUAUGAGAUGAGCCUGCGUUAGAUUAGCUAGUUGGUAGGGUAAAGGCCUACCAAGGCGACGAUCUAUAGCUGGUCUGAGAGGACGAUCAGCCACACUGGGACUGAGACACGGCCCAGACUCCUACGGGAGGCAGCAGUGGGGAAUAUUGGACAAUGGGCGCAAGCCUGAUCCAGCAAUACCGCGUGUGUGAAGAAGGCCUUAGGGUUGUAAAGCACUUUCAAUUGGGAGGAAAACCUGCCGGUCAAUACCCGGUAGCUUGACAUUACCUUUAGAAGAAGCACCGGCUAACUCCGUG
rnacentral:rRNA from 1 species